UUGACAUCCGAUGCUAUUUCUAGAGAUAGAAAGUUACUUCGGUACAUCGGUGACAGGUGGUGCAUGGUUGUCGUCAGCUCGUGUCGUGAGAUGUGGGUUAAGUCCCGCAACGAGCGCAACCCCUAUUGUUAGUUGCCAUCAUUCAGUUGGGCACUCUAGCGAGACUGCCGGUAAUAAACCGGAGGAAGGUGGGGAUGACGUCAAAUCAUCAUGCCCCUUAUGACCUGGGCUACACACGUGCUACAAUGGUUGGUACAACGAGUUGCGAGUCGGUGACGGCGAGCUAAUCUCUUAAAGCCAAUCUCAGUUCGGAUUGUAGGCUGCAACUCGCCUACAUGAAGUCGGAAUCGCUAGUAAUCGCGGAUCAGCGCGCCGCGGUGAAUACGUUCCCGGGCCUU
rnacentral:rRNA from 1 species